rnacentral:rRNA from 1 species
UACAGAGGGUGCAAGCGUUGUUCGGAAUUAUUGGGCGUAAAGGGAGUGUAGGCGGUCUUUUAAGUCUUCUGUGAAAUCUACGGGCUUAGCCUGUAACGUGCAGAGGAAACUGGAAGGCUUGAGUGUCGGAGAGGAUAGGGGAAUACCCAGUGUAGAGGUGAAAUUCGUAGAGAUUGGGUGGAACACCAGUGGCGAAGGCGCCUAUCUAGCUGACAACUGACGCUGAGACUCGAAAGCAUGGGGAGCAAACAGG